rnacentral:rRNA from 1 species
CGUGUAGGCGGCUUUGCAAGUCGGAUGUGAAAGCCCACGGCUCAACCGUGGAAGUGCAUCCGAAACUGCAUGGCUGGAGUCUCGGAGAGGAAGGUGGAAUGCUUGGUGUAGAGGUGAAAUUCGUAGAUAUCAAGCAGAACACCUGCGGCGAAGGCGGCCUUCUGGACGAUGACUGACGCUGAGACGCGAAAGCGUGGGAGCAAACA